GACCGAUCAGGUGGCCUAGUGGUUAGAGCAUCCGCCUUGAAUGCGGGAGGUCGCGGGUUCAAACCCAGGCCGAGUCA